rnacentral:rRNA from 1 species
CUCCUACGGGAGGCAGCAGUGGGGAAUUUUGGACAAUGGGGGCAACCCUGAUCCAGCCAUUCCGCGUGAGUGAAGAAGGCCUUCGGGUUGUAAAGCUCUUUCAGCUGGAACGAAACGGUACGCUCUAACAUAGCGUGCUAAUGACGGUACCAGCAGAAGAAGCACCGGCUAACUACGUGCCAGCAGCCGCGGUAAUACGUAGGGUGCGAGCGUUAAUCGGAAUUACUGGGCGUAAAGCGUGCGCAGGCGGAUUGUUAAGCAAGACGUGAAAUCCCCGGGCUUAACCUGGGAAUGGCGUUUUGAACUGGCAGUCUAGAGUGUGUCAGAGGGGGGUAGAAUUCCACGUGUAGCAGUGAAAUGCGUAGAGAUGUGGAGGAAUACCAAUGGCGAAGGCAGCCCCCUGGGAUAACACUGACGCUCAUGUACGAAAGCGUGGGUAGCAAACAGGAUUAGAUACCCUGGUAGUCCACGCCCUAAACGAUGUCAACUGGUUGUUGGGUCUUCACUGACUCAGUAACGAAGCUAACGCGUGAAGUUGACCGCCUGGGGAGUACGGCCGCAAGGUUGAAACUUAAAGGAAUUGACGG